ensembl:lncRNA LOC120098903 uncharacterized LOC120098903
GGACACAUCAGGAUGCACAUGCAGGACCCGAUACAUCCCCUCCCACUGAGACUAGAGAAAGGCAGCCCAGCUGGGAGAACAGGAUCCAAAGGCAGGCAACAGACUCAGGAACAUUCCCUGCUCAAGCCUCUGUGGCACCUACAGGAAGACCAAGCUCCUGACCCAUGUGGGGGAGAGGGGCAGGGCCCAGCCCACAUUUGCUCCCUGGUUGAUGGCGUUUCUUUCUGCCCUCCGCCCCUCGGUCGCUGGAGCUAAUACUCAGAGAUUACUUCGGAUUUAUGAGCAACAUCGACAUUAUGACGUAGAGAGAGGCAGACAAACUGUCGGAGAACUCCAGCCACAACGGAGGAAACAGAGAACCAUGUAGGCGAGCCUGUAGCUGAAUGUCAAAGGUUUGGUUAGACUCAUAGCUGUGUGAUUCAGAAGCAACAUGUUCCAAAGCAAGUGGCUUAUCUUGUCUGUCCCAGGUACUUCUCUCUCAAGUAAAGAAAAAAAUGGGUCACAC